rnacentral:rRNA from 1 species
CAGGCUUAACACAUGCAAGUCGAGGGGCAGCAUGGUCUUAGCUUGCUAAGGCCGAUGGCGACCGGCGCACGGGUGAGUAACACGUAUCCAACCUGCCGUCUACUCUUGGACAGCCUUCUGAAAGGAAGAUUAAUACAAGAUGGCAUCAUGAGUCCGCAUGUUCACAUGAUUAAAGGUAUUCCGGUAGACGAUGGGGAUGCGUUCCAUUAGAUAGUAGGCGGGGUAACGGCCCACCUAGUCUUCGAUGGAUAGGGGUUCUGAGAGGAAGGUCCCCCACAUUGGAACUGAGACACGGUCCAAACUCCUACGGGAGGCAGCAGUGAGGAAUAUUGGUCAAUGGGCGAGAGCCUGAACCAGCCAAGUAGCGUGAAGGAUGACUGCCCUAUGGGUUGUAAACUUCUUUUAUAAAGGAAUAAAGUCGGGUAUGCAUACCCGUUUGCAUGUACUUUAUGAAUAAGGAUCGGCUAACUCCGUGCCAGCAGCCGCGGUAAUACGGAGGAUCCGAGCGUUAUCCGGAUUUAUUGGGUUUAAAGGGAGCGUAGAUGGAUGUUUAAGUCAGUUGUGAAAGUUUGCGGCUCAACCGUAAAAUUGCAGUUGAUACUGGAUAUCUUGAGUGCAGUUGAGGCAGGCGGAAUUCGUGGUGUAGCGGUGAAAUGCUUAGAUAUCACGAAGAACUCCGAUUGCGAAGGCAGCCUGCUAAGCUGCAACUGACAUUGAGGCUCGAAAGUGUGGGUAUCAAACAGGAUUAGAUACCCUGGUAGUCCACACGGUAAACGAUGAAUACUCGCUGUUUGCGAUAUACAGCAAGCGGCCAAGCGAAAGCGUUAAGUAUUCCACCUGGGGAGUACGCCGGCAACGGUGAAACUCAAAGGAAUUGACGGGGGCCCGCACAAGCGGAGGAACAUGUGGUUUAAUUCGAUGAUACGCGAGGAACCUUACCCGGGCUUAAAUUGCAGAUGAAUUACGGUGAAAGCCGUAAGCCGCAAGGCAUCUGUGAAGGUGCUGCAUGGUUGUCGUCAGCUCGUGCCGUGAGGUGUCGGCUUAAGUGCCAUAACGAGCGCAACCCUUGUUGUCAGUUACUAACAGGUUCCGCUGAGGACUCUGACAAGACUGCCAUCGUAAGAUGUGAGGAAGGUGGGGAUGACGUCAAAUCAGCACGGCCCUUACGUCCGGGGCUACACACGUGUUACAAUGGGGGGUACAGAGGGCCGCUACCACGCGAGUGGAUGCCAAUCCCAAAAACCUCUCUCAGUUCGGACUGGAGUCUGCAACCCGACUCCACGAAGCUGGAUUCGCUAGUAAUCGCGCAUCAGCCACGGCGCGGUGAAUACGUUCCCGGGCCUUGUACACACCGCCCGUCAAGCCAUGGGAGCCGGGGGUACCUGAAGUGCGUAACCGCGAGGAGCGCCCUAGGGUAAAACUGGUGACUGGGGCUAAGUCAUAACA